rnacentral:rRNA from 1 species
UACGUAGGGGGCAAGCGUUGUCCGGAAUCAUUGGGCGUAAAGCGCGCGUAGGCGGCUUUGUAAGUUAGAGGUGAAAGCCCGGAGCUCAACUCCGGAACUGCCUUUAAAACUGCAUCGCUUGAAUCCAGGAGAGGUGAGUGGAAUUCCGAGUGUAGAGGUGAAAUUCGUAGAUAUUCGGAAGAACACCAGUGGCGAAGGCGGCUCACUGGACUGGUAUUGACGCUGAGGUGCGAAAGCGUGGGGAGCAAACAGG